rnacentral:tRNA from 1 species
GGCCGGGUGGUGUAGCGGUAACAUAAGGGACUGUGGAUCCCUUGUCCCGGGUUCAAAAUCGCUUUGCGAUGAAAAUCCCGGCCCGGGCC